rnacentral:rRNA from 1 species
GAUAUGAACCGUUAUAACCGGCGAUUUCCGAAUGGGGAAACCCAGUGUGACUCGUCACACUAUCAUUAACUGAAUCCAUAGGUUAAUGAGGCGAACCGGGGGAACUGAAACAUCUAAGUACCCCGAGGAAAAGAAAUCAACCGAGAUUCCCCCAGUAGCGGCGAGCGAACGGGGAGGAGCCCAGAGCCUGAAUCAGCAUGUGUGUUAGUGGAAGCGUCUGGAAAGGCGCGCGAUACAGGGUGACAGCCCCGUACACAAAAGCGCAUGUGCUGUGAGCUCGAUGAGUAGGGCGGGACACGUGGUAUCCUGUCUGAAUAUGGGGGGACCAUCCUCCAAGGCUAAAUACUCCUGACUGACCGAUAGUGAACCAGUACCGUGAGGGAAAGGCGAAAAGAACCCCGGCGAGGGGAGUGAAAAAGAACCUGAAACCGU